rnacentral:rRNA from 1 species
GACGAACGCUGGCGGCGUGCUUAACGCAUGCAAGUCGAACGGACAGGCCCUGCUCUUGCGGGGUGCUCGUGUGGCGAACGGGUGAGUAACACGUGAGUAACCUGCCCCUGACUUUGGGAUAACUUCAGGAAACGGGGGCUAAUAUCGGAUAGGAGCUCCUGAUGCAUGGUGGGGGAUGGAAAGUUGCGGCGGUUGGGGAUGGUCUCGAGGUUUCUCAGCUUGUUGAGGGGGAGUGGCUUACCACGGCUUUGCCGGGUAGCCGGCCUGAGAGGGCGACCGGGCACAUGGGGACUAAGAUACGGCCCAGACUGCAACGGGAGGCAGCAGUGGGAAACAUUGCAGAGUGGGCGGAAGCCAGAUGCAGCAACGCCGCGUGCGGGAUGACGGCCUUCGAGUUGUAAACCUCUUUCGCCUGUAACGAAGCGUGAUUGACGGUAAUGAGUAAAGAAGCACCGGCUAACUACGUG